rnacentral:sRNA from 1 species
AGAGUUAAAUAGUACGUGAAAUUGUUGAAAGGGAAACGAUUGAAGUCAGUCGUGCUAGUGAAAAAUCAGUUUGACGGGCUUUGAGUUCGGGUGUAGCGACAGGGUCAAACCGUCUCUAUUUUGGACUUGGGAUUUGUCGGACGUACUUUUUCUUUGGCAGGUCAGCGUCGGUUUCGGAGGUUGUAAAAUACUUGGGGGAAAGUAGCUCUGCUUCGGGAGAGUGUUAUAGACCCUGGGAGAUGCAGCCUGUGGGAUCGAGGAUUGCAGCAAAUGCCUUUGGCUUGUCGCCUAUCUCUGGUCGUUACCUCUCUUGUGACAACAUUCUUGCCACCGGAGGGUACUAAUGCCCAUUACUUAGAGCGAUCGAAAAUUUUGCUAAGGAUGCUGACGUAAUGGCUUUAAACGACC